rnacentral:rRNA from 1 species
GACGAACGCUGGCGGCGUGCUUAACACAUGCAAGUCGAGCGGUAAGGCUCCUUCGGGAGUACACGAGCGGCGAACGGGUGAGUAACACGUGAGCAAUCUGCCCUUCACACUGGGAUAACCCCCGGAAACGGGAGCUAAUACCAGAUACGACCACUUCGGGCAUCCGAUGGUGGUGGAAAGUUCCGGCGGUGAAGGAUGAGCUCGCGGCCUAUCAGCUUGUUGGUGAGGUAAUGGCUCACCAAGGCUUCGACGGGUAGCCGGCCUGAGAGGGUGACCGGCCACACUGGGACUGAGACACGGCCCAGACUCCUACGGGAGGCAGCAGUGGGGAAUAUUGGACAAUGGGCGGAAGCCUGAUCCAGCAACGCCGCGUGAGGGAUGACGGCCUUCGGGUUGUAAACCUCUUUCGCCUGUGACGAAGCGCAAGUGACGGUAACAGGUAAAGAAGCACCGGCCAACUACGUGCCAGCCGCCGCAGUAACAC